UACGUAGGGUGCAAGCGUUAUCCGGAAUCACUGGGCGUAAAGCGUGCGUAGGUGGCGCGUUAAGUGAGAUGUUAAAUCGUGUGGCUCAACCAUAUCGAUGCAUCUCAUACUGGCGUGCUAGAGGACGGCAGAGGCAAGUGGAAUUGGUAGUGUAGCAGUGAAAUGCGUAGAUAUUACCAGGAACACCAAUGGCGAAGGCAGCUUGCUGGGCCACUCCUGACACUGAGAUACGAAAGCGUGGGGAGCGAACAGG
rnacentral:rRNA from 1 species